GCCGGCGCAGCUGAAGAGCAGAGGCUCCUUCUGCAGGCCCAGUGCAGAGCCACCGUGGAGAAAAUCACUGACCUGAAAGGGCAGGGGCAGCAGUCAGGACUCAGGAAGGAGCCAUCCCGGACUCAGAGAAAGGUCUGUUUUAGGCUUCAACCUCCCCACCCCACCAUGCCUGGUGGCACCUGACCUGGCCCAGCCCAUCUCCUAAUGAGGCCGCUUUCCCGUCUUUAGCCAGUGGGUGAAAUCUAACUGUUUGACUCAAGCCUGCAACCACCUCCUUUCUUCCUCAUCAGCGUUGGGUGGUGCUAGAAAGUCCAACUGCGCCAAGCUCGGUCCUGCCUUCUGUGUACCCCACUUCUUAGGAGACUCGUCCUGGGGCCUCUGGCCAAGGGGACAUCCCUGACACUCAAGGGUCCCAGGGAAGCGGCAGUCACUGAUGUCCUUGAAGCCGGACAUUGCCCCAGCACUGACGUCCCCCUGCACUGUGCGUGGGUAUUCUCAACGCUGGGGCAAGUUCGAAGUCCCGGAGAAUCUGCAGGUCCCAUCCCCAGCCCAGCCUUGAAGCCCCGUGCUCUGCACAGCCCUGUCCCGACCUGCUCUCAUUCCCGAGCCGAUGGCCCAAGAAGACCCUGGCAGCCAGUUGCUGCCCCAGCUGGUUCCCUAAACACUCAUGACGAAGUCCUGGGAGCCUCUGAGCCCCACACACUUCUGGGGGUCUUGCGGGGACAAGGCUUCACUCUCAGGUUAUAAAUAAAACUCCCCAGAGAAGAGCUUUCCCCUCCAAAUGCCGCUCCCCGGCUCCGUGACAGCAAAUCUCUGAGUUACUCUUGCUCCUGUGUCUGUAAGCCCUUGUCACAAGAUAAUUCAAAGGUCCCUGUGUGAAGCAAACACUCACGGCCAACGACGACGACGACGUUCCGCC
rnacentral:lncRNA from 1 species